UUUUUUUUUUUUUUUUUUGAAGUGGGUAUUAAUGAAAUCUUAAAAAAGAGUACUUAGGUCACAUUUAGUUUGCUUUGAAAUUGCAAAGGGAAUGCCCUAGAAUAUGAUUCCAUCUUUGUUAGGCAUAAGAGGGCCUAAAUUCGAUAUAAUAUUAUGUAUUUGACUCACUGCAAUUUAGAUGAAAAUAACAUAUGUUUUUAAAUAUAGUUCUUAAGACUAACAUUAAAUUAUAUUUGAUCGUCUAAAAAAGUAAACUUGGAGUGAGAAUUUUAAAUAAGAGAUAUCCUAUAUAUAUACAUUUUUUUUUCUAUUGCAAAAGUGAACCAAUCAUGCUAUUAGAGUGCAGACAGCAGAGUGGAUAAGCAAAUUUUGCUUAUUUGUAUUUUAAUCACAUGUCUCACCCAUAAUUUCCAUAUGAUGCGAUUGCAAUUUUAAAUUUAGCUGCAAAGUACUGGAAUUUAAUUCUUUUAUUUUCGUUUCAUUUCUUUUCUUUUCAAUUUACUUAAACUUUUGGAGGAUCAAGCUUCUCUUUUAAUUUUUCAGUUGGAUUUUCUAUGUUCUGGUGUUUGAAUUCCAUUUAGUGGCUAAAUUUUAAAGCAACAUGAAAUUUUCACCUUGAUUGUGGCCUGACUCGUGGAUUUAUUGAUAUGCUUUUCUGAUGUAUUGUAUGUUUGUUUAUUCCCAUUUUAAUUUUUUAUCCUAUUCAAUGGCUAUGUUUGUUUAUUCCCAUUUGAAUUUUUGAUCCUCUUCGAAGGCAUAUGCAUUUUCUAUGCAUGUCAAACAGGGAAUGCACUGUUUGCCUUGAUUAUAUAUUCUGAAAGGAGAAAAAUAAGGUGGAGGGAGUAAACUAUGAACUGACAUUUUUGUAAAUCAGCUGGAAGUUUCAUCUGUUGUCUUCUAAGUAUUCAAAAUAUGGUAUUUUGUAAGAAUUGACACACCACUCCCCAGCUACCACCAGCCACCCCCUCCCCCCUUUUUUCCUUUUAUGCGUGUAUGUUUCAGGUUGAUGGCAGUCAAAUAUUUGCCAAGCUAAAUUUCAAUUCUUCAUGUAUCGUAAUCUGUCUUCCAGUUUCAUCAUUGUAGUGCAACUUUAUUUUAUUUAUGUUAUGACAUAGCUAAGGUGUAUUAGUGGGUAAUGCAGGUGCAACAGUGAAAGAUAUGAAUGCAUUCAAGGCUUUCAAAGCCCAAGUCCCAAUUGCAUGGAGUCCUAACUUAUACAUAACAUUGGUGAGGGGCAUUCCAGGAACCAGGAGACUCCACAGACGUACCUUAGAGGCAUUGCGUCUUCGCAAAUGCAACCGUACUGUUAUGCGAUGGAAUACUCCCACUGUUAGGGGAAUGCUCCAACAGGUGAAGAGGUUAGUUGUGAUUGAGACAGAAGAGAUGUACAAGGCCCGCAAACAAAAUGACGCAAAUCAUCGAGCUCUACGUCCUCCAUUGGUCAUUAACCACUCACCUGCGCAUGCAAGCAAUUCUUCGUAGAGCAUGCAUCUGUUUUAUAUAGUUCUUUAGAGGUCAGCUCUCUGUUUGUUUAGUGUGCAUCUGUUGCUUAUGGGAUCUGUUUUUUGGCAGUGUAUUAUCUGAAGUAGGGCUGAUUUAAUGAACUGAAUUCUUAGUUCAGUUUACAUGAUGGAUAUACUUAUGUAUCUAACUUUUUGGUCUGGUCAUUCCAAAUGUAUUUUGGAAGUUCUCAAGUAGGAGUAUUACAAUGGUAUGUUUUGAUAACCAAUUCGUACUGUUAUACGAAGUGAAAUUUGUUUUGACGUUUUGUUAUUGGCCAUGUUCCAAUACCUUUAGUAAAGAAUUUAAUUGAG
rnacentral:misc_RNA from 1 species